rnacentral:rRNA from 1 species
GAUGAACGCUGGCGGCGUGCCUAAUACAUGCAAGUCGAGCGAACAGAUGAGGAGCUUGCUCCUCUGACGUUAGCGGCGGACGGGUGAGUAACACGUGGAUAACCUACCUAUAAGACUGGGAUAACUUCGGGAAACCGGAGCUAAUACCGGAUAAUAUAUUGAACCGCAUGGUUCAAUAGUGAAAGACGGUUUUGCUGCCACUUAUAGAUGGAUCCGCGCCGCAUUAGCUAGUUGGUAAGGUAACGGCUUACCAAGGCAACGAUGCGUAGCCGACCUGAGAGGGUGAUCGGCCACACUGGAACUGAGACACGGUCCAGACUCCGACGGGAGGCAGCAGUAGGGAAUCUUCCGAAAUGGGCGAAAGCCUGACGGAGCAACGCCGCGUGAGUGAUGAAGGUCUUUGGAUCGUAAAACUCUGUUAUUAGUGAAAACAAAUGUGUAAGUAACUAUGCACGGCUUGACGGUACCUAAUCAGAAAGCCACGGCUAACUACGUG